rnacentral:misc_RNA from 1 species
GAAAUGCGAUAAGUAAUGUGAAUUGCAGAAUUCAGUGAAUCAUCGAAUCUUUGAACGCACAUUGCGCCCACCAGUACUCUGGCGGGCAUGCCUGUUCGAGCGUCAUUUCAACCAUCAAGCCCCCGGCUUGUGUUGGGGACCUGCGGCUGCCCGCAGGCCCUGAAAAACAGUGGCGGGCUCGCUGUCACACCGAGCGUAGUAGCAUACAUUCUCGCUCAGGGCGUGCUGCGGGUUCCGGCCGUUAAACGACCUUCAUAACCCAAGGUUGACCUCGGAUCAGGUAGGAAGACCCGCUGAACUUAAGC